rnacentral:rRNA from 1 species
CUGCCCAAUGAGUAUUUAAAUGGCCGCGGUAUUUUGACCGUGCAAAGGUAGCAUAAUCAUUAGUUUUUUAAUUAAAAGCUGGUAUGAAAGGUUGGAUGAGAAAAUAGCUGUCUCUGUUUAAAUUAUUUUAGAAUUUUAUUUUUAAGUAAAAAAGCUUAAAUAUAAAUAGAAGACGAGAAGACCCUAUAGAGUUUUAUAGAUUUUAAUUUAAAAAGUUUUUAGAAUUGAAAAAAAAUUAAAUUAAUAUUUAUUUAGUUGGGGUGAUUGAAAAAUUAAAAAAACUUUUUUUAUUUUUUAUAACAUAAAUUUAUGAUUGGAUGAUCCUUAAUUAAAGAUUAUAAGAAAAAAUUACCUUAGGGAUAACAGCGUAAUUUUUUUAAAGAGUUCAAAACGAAAAAAAAGC